UACGUAGGGUCCAAGCGUUGUCCGGAUUUAUUGGGCGUAAAGAGCUCGUAGGCGGUUCCGUAAGUCGGAUGUGAAAACUCGGGGCUCAACCCCGAGACGCCAUCCGAUACUGCGGUGACUUGAGUCUGGUAGGGGAACACGGAAUUCCUGGUGUAGCGGUGAAAUGCGUAGAUAUCUGGAGGAACACCGGUGGCGAAGGCGGCAUCCUGGACCAACACUGACGCUGAGUGAGCGAAAGCCAGGGGAGCAAACGGG
rnacentral:rRNA from 1 species